rnacentral:rRNA from 1 species
GCGCAGCAGGCGCGAAUCUUCCACAAUGGACGAAAAGGUCUGAUGGAGCGACGCCGCGUGCGGGAUGAAAGGCCUUAUGGGUUGUAAACCGCUGUCAGGGGGGAAGAACAUCGGAAUGAACAAUACUCAUUCCGACUGACGUUACCCCCAGAGGAAGCUCCGGCCAACUCCGUGCCAGCAGCCGCGGUAAUACGGGGGGAGCAAGCGUUGUCCGGAAUUAUUGGGCGUAAAGGGCGUGUAGGCGGCGAGGUAAGUCGGAAUGUGAAAUCUCACGGCUCAACCGUG